GGUAAGGUUAUGCUGUUUACGACAAAAAAGAGGUCCUGCUGUCACAAAAGUGCUAUUAAGUGUCGGGUGGAAAACUCAUCAAGAUGCUGGCACCGUGAGUGAUAUGGCAUCAAAAGUAAAGGCACUCUAAUUAAGUGCACUCCUCUGCCAUUUUGGCAGAUGUGGCCUCUUCACCUUCCUCUCACUUGGCCCCAAUCCACUGAACCCCCUGUGGCUACCACCAACUUCUCAGGCUC
rnacentral:lncRNA from 1 species